rnacentral:lncRNA from 1 species
UGCUCUUCUUAGUGGGACCGCUUUGAUUCCUUAAAAAGUUGUAAUCGUUAAAAUGAAGUACUUUCAAUCAAUCUCUGCUGUCGUCUUCGUGAUUAUAUCCCAUGGAAUUGUAGCUCGCCCUAACGCAAAUUCAAAUACCGCACCGAAUAUACAACAACGUAACCAACUAGAGGAUGGUACCGAUCCGACAACAGAGGCACCUCGCCGUGUAGGAGAGCCGUGUGAAUGGACCGACGAGUGCGAACGUCAUCUUUGCUGCCGGUACUUCGAUAAUGGUUCUAGGUCUUGCCAGGAGCGACCCAAGAAAGACGGCGAGCAAUGUUCUAUGAAAAUGCUCCUUACUCCUUUUGGUGACGAAGGCGCAUACCAGAAAGCUUGUCCUUGUGGAGCCGGUUUUUAUUGCAACGUAUCCAACGAAGAGAACGCCGAACGACGUGACAAUGCACAGUUGGAAGUUAAUGGCGAUGCUGUAAAACUUGGGAAGUGUAGACAUAAUGUCACUUCGUCCAAGCGAAUGCCAGAACACUGCUGAAGCACCUGAAUUAUUUUCUAGGUCUGUUUGCUGAAGUCGUGCUCUUCAGGAUGCGUUCGGAAGAAAAAAAAAUAUAUUGAA